UGAAAUCGCACUGGUUUUACACACUGGGUCGCCUUUUAAAAUUUGGCUAUGCAAGCCAAACAUGAACCUGCGUGCGACAAUCAACCCUGGGGACGGGAGCUG